CCUACGGGUGGCAGCAGUGAGGAAUAUUGGUCAAUGGGCGCAAGCCUGAACCAGCCAAGUCGCGUGAAGGAAGAAGGCUCUAGGGUUUGUAAACUUCUUUUAUAGGGGAAUAAAGUUAUCCACGUGUGGAUAUUUGCAUGUACCCUAUGAAUAAGCAUCGGCUAACUCCGUGCCAGCAGCCGCGGUAAUACGGAGGAUGCGAGCGUUAUCCGGAUUUAUUGGGUUUAAAGGGAGCGUAGGUUGUUUUUUAAGUCAGUGGUGAAAGUUUGGGGCUCAACCGUAAAAUUGCCGUUGAUACUGGAAGACUUGAGUGCAGUUGAGGUAGGCGGAAUGCGUGGUGUAGCGGUGAAAUGCAUAGAUAUCACGAAGAACUCCGAUUGCGAAGGCAGCUUACUAAGCCAUAACUGACACUGAAGCACGAAAGUGUGGGGAUCAAACAGGAUUAGAUACCCUAGUAGUC
rnacentral:rRNA from 1 species